GGUGGUUGCACUCAACUUCAAAUGUUGCCCAAGCUUCCUUUAAAUAUUGCAUAUAUUGAUGCAAGAGGGUGUACCUCGCUGGAAACAUUAUCAUUAAGUCUAGAAUAUGAUUUUCGGCCGAAUAUAUAUCUUCACAAUUGCGUCAAAUUGCUUAAUAAUCAAGGCUACGGUGAAUUGUUGUCAACAAUUCUAAGACAUUAUAUCAGUGAGGGACGCUAUCAGGAGAAUCGUUAUACGUAUUUCACAAUUCCUGGAAGUGAAAUUCCGAAAUGGUACAGGCACCAAAAUGUGGGGGCUUCAGUGAAUCUACAAGUGCCAUCACAUUUAUUAUUAAGUGACAAAUUUAAGGGAAUCGCUGUGUGCGCUGUUUAUAUAUUCUGCCAACAUCAUCCAUUUCACCAACUUCAUACUGAAAAUUAUAGAUAUAUGAUAAGUACGCAUAAGGUUUGUUGUUUCGUUAAAGCUAACGGACAUCAAUCUACCAGAGUGAUCCUUCCUUUAUCGGAGGAAUUUGGUGAGAUUGAAUCGUAUCAGCUUUGGCUCGAAUAUAUUCACUCUAGACACUUGGGAAGCGACUGGGAAGAAAAUUUGAAUCGAGUGGAUGCUAAUGGAUUCACCCAAAUUGAGGUUACAUUUGAAUCGAAAGGUCCAGGCUUGGAGGUCACGAAAUGCGGAGCCCAUGUGGUAUACGAGCAAGACAUAGAAGAUCUCAAACAGACUAUGGCUGGGGCUGGGUCUAGCAGUUGCAUCAUCACUCCUUAUUAUGAGGAUGAGUCUGAUGAUGAACCAGAACCACCACACCCAAAGUGGAUAGAGCACCCUAAUCUAAUUGAAAAUUGGAUUGGGAAUGUAUGCACAUAAGAGCACAUAAGCAUGGCUCAAGCAUGCCAGUUAUGUUUGACUUUGCUAGAAUUUCUUUCCUUACCAUAAAAGCAGGGGAACUAAUAGUAGGUUAUGUAUGUUUUCUGAACGCACCAGUUGGAGCUAUGCCCCAGAAGAACUUGUGUCUUUCUUGCUGCUAUGGUGGCUCUGGUUCAACAGGAAAAGACACCAACAUUAAGCAAAGGCAUGAUGACUAAGAUGGGGAUGGGGCUGGACCUAGUGCAGAAGGUACCUUUAAUGAUGUACAACCACACCCAAAGUGGAUAGAGCACCAUAUGUAAUUGAAAAUUGGUUUGGGAAUUUUUGCACACAACGACAAGGUGACUCUUAUUGUGAAGAAGAGGAAUCCUAGUGAAAGUGGAAACUUUGAUGAAUCUACACAGCUGGGAGAGUCAUUGGAUCCAUAAGAGGUCUCAAUUGUAAGUGACUGGUCAGGAUAGAUGGUGCAGAAGCACAGACUCCGUCUUGUAUACAAAGAAGAUGCACAACAGAUUUGGCAAAUUCAAUCCACUUGCAGUCACAUUGAGGUUUCAGCUGUAAGCAACUUCCCACGUUUGAUGGUGCAGAAGUGUGGGCAAGGUUUAUUAGACCCUCAAGAGGAGGAAGAGUUUGGGUAAACAAUCAUUAAAUUCUCUAAAGAGACUUAUCACAAUGUGGAUCUCAUUCAUCAAUCAGUAGCAAGUGAUAUUCCAAAUGAUAAUCAAGAGUGAAUCUUGUUGCUCGUAUGAGGACCUAUAUUCUGGAAGGUUAAGAGGACCCAUUUAUCCAAAGCAGAUCAGUGGAAAUAGCAUUUAUAUUGAUUUUUGAGGACCAACACCCUGAUAUUCAACUCAACCAAAAUGAUUUACUCGUAAUAAAUGUGUGUAUUUCCUUUGAAAGUACCAUCUCUCUCUCUCUCUCUCUCUCU